CACGUGAGUAACUUGCCUCAGAGUGGGGGAUAGUCCUGGGAAACAGGGUUUAAUACCGCAUACGACCUACGGGUUAAAGCUAGCUUCGGCUGGUGCUUUGAGAUAGGCUCGCGUCCUAUCAGCUAGUUGGUGAGGUAAAAGCUCACCAAGGCGACGACGGGUAGUUGGUCUGAGAGGACGACCAGCAGCACUGGAACUGAGACACGGUCCAGACACCUACGGGUGGCAGCAGUCGAGAAUCAUUCACAAUGGGGGCAACCCUGAUGGUGCAACGCCGCGUGGAGGAUGAAGGCCCUAGGG
rnacentral:rRNA from 1 species